rnacentral:misc_RNA from 1 species
AACAAGGCGUACCUGCGGACCUGCGGAAGGAUCAUUAUCGAGUUGCAAAACUCCAACCCUUUGUGAACAUACCUCAGUCGUUGCUUCGGCGGUGGACGGCCUGUUUUUCGGAACGGCCGGAAGCCGCCGGAGGUUCCAAACUCGUAUUUUUUAGUGUAUCUCUGAGCCUGAAAACAAAUAAUCAAAACUUUUAACAACGGAUCU